rnacentral:rRNA from 1 species
UACGUAGGGCGCAAGCGUUGUCCGGAAUUAUUGGGCGUAAAGAGCUCGUAGGCGGCUUGUUGCGUCGGCUGUGAAAACCCAUGGCUCAACCGUGGGCUUGCAGCCGAUACGGGCAGGCUAGAGUUCGGUAGGGGAGACUGGAAUUCCUGGUGUAGCGGUGAAAUGCGCAGAUAUCAGGAGGAACACCGGUGGCGAAGGCGGGUCCCUGGGCCGAUACUGACGCUGAGGAGCGAAAGCGUGGGGAGCGAACAGG